CCUACGGGGGGCAGCAGUGAGGAAUAUUGGUCAAUGGGCGCAAGCCUGAACCAGCCAAGUCGCGUGAGGGAUGACGGUCCUAUGGAUUGUAAACCUCUUUUGUCGGGGAGCAAAGCGCGGUACGAGUACCGUGAAGGAGAGUACCCGAAGAAAAAGCAUCGGCUAACUCCGUGCCAGCAGCCGCGGUAAUACGGAGGAUGCGAGCGUUAUCCGGAUUUAUUGGGUUUAAAGGGUGCGUAGGCGGAUUUUUAAGUCAGCGGUAAAAUGUCCGGGCUCAACCCGGGCCGGCCGUUGAAACUGGGGAUCUUGAGUGGGCGAGAAGUAUGCGGAAUGCGUGGUGUAGCGGUGAAAUGCAUAGAUAUCACGCAGAACUCCGAUUGCGAAGGCAGCAUACCGGCGCCCGACUGACGCUGAGGCACGAAAGCGUGGGGAUCGAACAGGAUUAGAUACCCUUGUAGUC
rnacentral:rRNA from 1 species